AUUGAACGCUGGCGGCGUGCCUAACACAUGCAAGUCGAGCGGCAGCGCGGGAGCAAUCCUGGCGGCGAGCGGCGGACGGGUGAGUAACGCUUGGGAAUCUGCCUGUUAGUGGGGGACAACCCGGGGAAACUCGGGCUAAUACCGCAUACGCACUACGGUGGAAAGCCGGGGACCGCAAGGCCUGGCGCUAACAGAUGAGCCCAAGUCGGAUUAGCUAGUUGGUAGGGUAACGGCCUACCAAGGCGACGAUCCGUAACUGGUCUGAGAGGACGACCAGUCACACCGGAACUGAGACACGGUCCGGACUCCUACGGGAGGCAGCAGUGGGGAAUCUUGCGCAAUGGGCGAAAGCCUGACGCAGCGACGCCGCGUGAGGGAUGACGGCCU
rnacentral:rRNA from 1 species